rnacentral:lncRNA from 1 species
AUGCCAUAUUUUAAAAACUCUUUUCAAGUGCUGUUGUUUUCCCCUUUUUCUUCGUCAGUGUUCUGGACAUCUUGGAAAAGGUAUACGGGAAGCAACAGAAAUCCUUACAAUUGCAAAAUAAAACCUGAGGGGAUAGGAACCGAGAACUUUUCAAUGAAGAAGACAAGAAUUGUUGACAAUUCAUACUUUAGGUCUGUUAUUGGAGCCCACCAGCAUGCCAGGAGUAGCUGGGAGUAUUCAGUGGAGCCCCAUCUGAGACUGCCAGAACACAAAGCCUCUCUCUUCGUACAUUUCAAGAUUGAAAUUCAGAGUCUUCCAGGAAUGAAUAUACCUGUCCAACCUGAUCCCUGA